CGCCGCGGCCGUUUGGUAGUUGGUAGUUGGUACCAACACACUCCACACUGUGCAAGGCGGGGCCCCUCUCCGCCCGUCGCCAUGGCCUUCUUCACUGCGCUGCCGGCGGCUCCAUGCGACCAUGCCGGGCGUCGCCGCCAACUCCUCGCUGCCUUCUCUCUUUGCCCGCCGUAGGUGAGCAGGCCUUUUCCGAAUCCCGACCCCGAGAUCGGCCUCGCCCUCGAUGACGAAGUUUCUUCUUCUUCUUCUCCGGAUGAUGCUCUGGCGCCGCCACCGUCUCUCCUCGCCGCCGUACACGCGGCUCCUCGCCUGCCUUCUCCUCCUCCUCCAGCUGCCGCCGCUCUCCCGCGCCGCGACGGUGGUCACUCGCCUGCCGGGGUUCCCCGGCCCCCUGCCCUUCUACCUGGAGACAGGGUACGUUGGCGUGGGGGAGGAGGAGGCCGGGGCGGAGCUCUUCUACUACUUCGUGGAGUCGGAGCGGAGCCCCGGCACCGACCCCGUGCUGGUGUGGCUCACCGGCGGGCCCCGGUGCUCCGCCUUCAGCGGCCUCGCCUACGAGAUCGGGCCCAUCAAUUUCGUCCUCCAACCCUACGACGGCACGCUGCCGCGGCUGGUCUACAGCCCGGAUUCCUGGACACGGGUGGCGAGCAUCAUCUUCCUGGACUCGCCCGUGGGUUCAGGCUUCUCGUACGCGCGCGACCCCCGCGGCUACGACGUCGGGGACGUCUCGUCGUCUAGGCAGGUCGUGGAGUUCCUGAGGAAGUGGUUUGAUGCUCACCCAUGUCUUCAAUCAAACCCUUUCUACGUCGCUGGCGACUCGUAUGCAGGAAUGGUGGUGCCCGUUAUUGCACAAUAUAUCUCAGAAGGAAAUGAAGGAAUGCAUCAUCCACUGAUCAAUCUCAAGGGCUAUAUAGUCGGCAACCCUGUAACCGGAGACAAGGUCGACACCAACUCUCGGAUUCCGUACGCUCAUUCGCAUGGAAUCAUAUCUGACCAGCAGUACGAGGCUGCGGUGGCAAAUUGCAAUGGGGAUUAUGUGAGUCCGACGAACAAGCUCUGCGCCGACGUGCUACAAACUAUCCAGAAUCUCAUGUCAGAAGUCGACCACAAAGAUAUACUGGGACCGAAAUGUCCCCUUGAUUCACCGAAUCCGAGGAGAGAUGCUUUAGAGAGGAAGUCCCUAGCAGAGGAACACUACUAUCGGAUUAGUGACCCACCUGCGGAACCUUCUUUUCGUUGUUUUGAAUACCGCUACUACCUGUCUUACUUUUGGGCAAAUGACAAUGCCACUAGAGCUGCCCUUGGGGUCAAGGAGGGAACAGUGAAGGAAUGGGUUAGGUGCCAGCGUUCAGGUUUUCCCUACACCUACGAUAUUCCGAGCAGCAUAAAGUACCACUUCAACCUCACCACCAGGGGUUACCGCGCUCUGGUAUACAGUGGAGACCAUGAUCUAAGUAUACCGUUCUCGGGCACACAUGCAUGGAUAAGAUCCUUCAACUUCUCCAUUGUUGAUGACUGGAGGGCGUGGCACCUUGAUGGCCAGGCUGCAGGGUUAAGUCAUCUCCUGAAUCCCUUGAAUUCUACUGUUCUCGCUUUGCUCCUCUCUCAAUCAACAUGUGGCGCCAUCAUCUUCCAUUCAUAUUUUCAAGGAUGGAACACUUGCAGUCUCCUUUGUUCGUUCCUCUGUUGCAUUUUUGCUUGAACUGAUGUAGAAUUCACCUUUUUUCUUCUUCUUUUUGGCCAGAUUCACGAUCAAAUAUGCGAACAAUCUCACUUUCGCGACAGUGAAGGGUGGUCGCCAUGCUGCUCCAGGGAAUCGGCCCAAAGAAUGCUUCACUAUGGCUAAAAGGUGGCUGGACAAUAAGCCUCUCUGAUUUGCCUGCCAACUCAGGCUGCACUUCUGAAUCCGGAUUCAGUCUGUAACUGUGCAAUAAGUCUGUAAAAUGACAACCAAACUAGCGAAGUAAGUUAAUUAAUGUAAUAAAGCACGUCAAAUAUUAAGUUUGCACUCGAAAGUGUUUCUCUUUCA